GCCCGAGGAGGGGAAAGAUUUAUCGCUAUAGGAUGGGCCCGCGUAGGAUUAGCUAGUUGGUGAGGUAACGGCUCACCAAGGCAACGAUCCGUUAGCGUGGUUUGAGAGAAUGACCAGCCACACUGGGACUGAGACACGGCCCAGACUCCUACGGGGAGGCAGCAGUGGGGAAUCUUGGACAAUGGGCGCAAGCCUGAUCCAGCCAUGCCGCGUGAGUGAUGAAGGCCUUAGGGUUGUAAAGCUCUUUUGCCGGGGACGAUAAUGACGGUACCCGGAGAAUAAGUCCCGGCUAACUUCGUGCCAGCAGCCGCGGUAAUACGAAGGGGACUAGCGUUGUUCGGAAUCACUGGGCGUAAAGCGCACGUAGGCGGAUUUGUAAGUCAGGGGUGAAAUCCCGGGGGCUCAACCUCGGAACUGCCUUUGAUACUGCAAAUCUAGAGUCCGAUAGAGGUGGGUGGAAUUCCUAGUGUAGAGGUGAAAUUGUAGAUAUUAGGAAGAACACCGGUGG
rnacentral:rRNA from 1 species